UACGUAGGUGGCGAGCGUUGUCCGGAUUUACUGGGCGUAAAGAGCGCGCAGGCGGUCGUACAAGUCGCGUGUGAAAGCCCCCGGCUCAACUGGGGAGGGUCACGCGAUACUGUUCGACUCGAAGGCAGGAGAGGGAAGCGGAAUUCCCGGUGUAGUGGUGAAAUGCGUAGAUAUCGGGAGGAACACCGGUGGCGAAGGCGGCGAUCUGGGUAGAUACUGACGCUGAGGUGCGAAAGCGUGGGGAGCAAACAGG
rnacentral:rRNA from 1 species